rnacentral:sRNA from 12 species
GACCGGUUACCCGAACAGUCACCCUUAGGUGCGCGUGCCACGCAGAGCGAUGGAUAGGGUAACCGGUCGUUC